GUAAGCGUGCGCAGGCGGUUAUGUAAGACAGAUGUGAAAUCCCGGGCUCAACCUGGGAACUGCAUUAGUGACUGCAUAGCUGGAGUACGGCAGAGGGGGAUGGAAUUCCGCGUGUAGCAGUGAAAUGCGUAGAUAUGCGGAGGAACACCGAUGGCGAAGGCAAUCCCCUGGGCCUGUACUGACGCUCAUGCACGAAAGCGUGGGGAGCAAACAGGAUUAGAUACCCCAGU
rnacentral:rRNA from 1 species